rnacentral:rRNA from 1 species
GACGAACGCUGGCGGCGUGCUUAACACAUGCAAGUCGAACGAUGAUGCCAGCUUGCUGGUGGAUUAGUGGCGAACGGGUGAGUAACACGUGAGCAACCUGCCCCUGACUCCGGGAUAACCGCGGGAAACCGUGGCUAAUACCGGAUAUGACGCGCUAUCGCAUGGUGGUGUGUGGAAAGAUUUAUCGGUUGGGGAUGGGCUCGCGGCCUAUCAGCUUGUUGGUGGGGUGAUGGCCUACCAAGGCGACGACGGGUAGCCGGCCUGAGAGGGUGACCGGCCACACUGGGACUGAGACACGGCCCAGACUCCUACGGGAGGCAGCAGUGGGGAAUAUUGCACAAUGGGCGCAAGCCUGAUGCAGCGACGCCGCGUGAGGGAUGACGGCCUUCGGGUUGUAAACCUCUUUCAGUAGGGAAGAAGGCCUUCGGGUUGACGGUACCUGCAGAAGAAGCGCCGGCUAACUACGUG